rnacentral:rRNA from 1 species
CGGCGGACGGGUGGAGUAACAACGUGGGUAACCGUACCUAUAAGACUCGGGGAUAACUUCGGGAAACCGGAGCUAAUACCGGAUAAUAUUUCGAACCGCAUGGUUCGAUAGUGAAAGAUGGUUUUGCUAUCACUUAUAGAUGGACCCGCGCCGUAUUAGCUAGUUGGUAAGGUAACGGCUUACCAAGGCGACGAUACGUAGCCGACCUGAGAGGGCGAUCGGCCACACUGGAACUGAGACACGGUCCAGACUCCUACGGGAGGCAGCAGGC